rnacentral:lncRNA from 1 species
AAGCAGCCAGACAUUUAGUUUGAUAUGUCAUUCCAUAAAGCAGCCAGACAUUUAGUUUGAUAUGUCAUUCCAUAAAGCAGCCAGACAUUUAGUUUGAUAUGUCAUUCCAUAAAGCAGCCAGACAUUUAGUUUGAUAUGUCAUUCCACAAAGCAGCCAGAUAUUCCCAUUAGUUUAUGGUAAUUCCGGUUAUUUUUUAUUCUGUUAAUGCUCUUGUCAGAAAGACCUCAGUUGUGUCUAGUUUUAAUGUCUCUGAUCACUUCUGAACCGGUAGUCCUUGUCUGUAAAUGAUGUGUAUUUGUUUUGAUAUCACCUGUGUCAUAAGAUGUGCUCCAACACAGAUCCAAGCGUUAAUAUCCCAGGCUCACCCAUACUGUGUGAGAUGGUAACUGUGUGUUAGAGCAUCUCUCAGCUGGCCUGUCUGUACCUGUAUCCUGGGCUUUGAGCUCUGGGGUGAAGACUGGUGAUUUGUGUGUGGUGACACCCAAUGCCUUCUAAUGGACUGGAGUCCCUCAUCCAUGCUAUUUAUAGAUGACUGUGUCAAAUCUAGUUCAUACACCCCUUCCAACCCCACUGCCUCCACAACAUUUCUGUUGAGUGGAGCCCCCAAGGACUCACUGUUCACUGAGGAUAAAACCUCCGACUGUCUUCGACAACAAGGAGAGGGGAGGUCCGUUAGGCCUGAUCAGGGCAGAGUCACAUGCCAUUUGAUACUGUCAUGACAACCAAUCAGAAAUGUUGUUGAAAUAGAAAUGUUUUUAAAUACGGUAGUGGUGAAAUGCCAUACAGAGAUGAGCUGGGGGAUUUUCCACAGUGGAGCAGUAGAUAUUUAGCCAUAAACCGCUCAAUACUUAAUUUAUUUUUUAGUGAUUACGUUUGUUAAAUUUGUUUAUGCUAUAAGCAAUACAGUUACACAGAAUACCUGAAAACGUCAUGUAGUAUAAGCAUGUGCUAUGCAGUAAACUCUGAAGUGUUCUGCUCUUCAGUGUCCAAGUGUACCUAGUACGGGGACGUUUAGGUUUGUAAUGUAUAUAAGAAGGUGGCUGAUGCAGUCAUUGUACACUGAUCUCUGAGUACUAUUGCUUAUCAGUGCCCACUCUUGGGUGUCUGAAUAUAGUGGAUUUAUUUUGUCAGGUUAGGUUUUUCUUCAGACCCUUAGUUGUCACUAACCUAAGUUCAGCACAGUGUUUUGUUCCAGUCAGCUCAGCCUAUUACCUCCACCUUCCGCUGCCAGGCAGUACUGGCCAAAUCAUGACCAGAGAUGGGUAUGCACGUGUAACUCAAAUUUUGAUGUAAAUCUGUCAUUGACGACUAUGGAUUUGUGCUGAAAUUCAAAUUAUGUGCAUGGAUAUCCAGUUAGAUUUUGGCCUUACGAUCUCUCUUGGUCACGUGUAGCAAUACCUUGUUUAGAUAUGGUAUGAAUGUUAAGGUGUGUAUUCAGCCCUGUAGGGUCAGAGUCUUCUCUUUGGUGAACUUUUACUCUCCAAAAUGUACUGCCUUACCAAGGCCUCUCAGCUGGGCCUGUCUCACAUUUUAUAGGAGAUGGUGUGAAAAAGGACGCUGUCAACAGCCUGCCUGUGUCUGUGCACUGUUGUCAAAUGUUUUGUGAAUGGAUUGCAUCUCAUGUCCCACCUCCCUGGGGGCUCUUCCAGAAAGCUGGAUCAAUGAGUUAGCCAGCUAACGGUCCCCCAAAAAACGUAAAUAACAGCAUUUCUUUUUCGAGAAUUAUGAACUUGAAAUUGGUAAUGGUAUAAUUGACUUGACAACCAACAAUCCAUAUUCAGGUUUAGUUUUCUCAGUGAAAAUUGAGAGAUGUAUUUGGCUGCUUAUCAAAGUUAACUGGCUACGGUAAUGAUCCUGCUUCCUGGAACACUCCACUGCUCAUCAACACACUCUUUCCUAGUUAUUCCUCCAGAUAUUCUUACUUCAGUAAAAUAUCAUUAACAGAACUCCUCACAUGCACAAACAGCACUUCUGUGUCUUACCACCUCCUCUCCUCCCCUUGCCAUGCCACAUGUGUAUCAAACUCAGUAUUCUGGUCUGGGACAACCAUUCUAGGUGCAAGCAGUGCCUCCUGUUUCUUUACCUCUUCCUCUCUGUCUUGAACACAGUAUGUGGCAGUGGCUGUAUGACCACUCUGACUCUCAGCAGACAGGCACAUUAGCAGCACGCCCUCUGUUACACUCAGACUUGCAUCGUCCUCAGACUUCUGCUCGGAGCGUGAAAGUGCUACUUCAGCGGUUUUCUGGGUUCUUCUCUUGACUCUAACCAUCGUAAGAAAGGGAAAACAUUUGACCUGUACGUUUUUGACCUCACUCUUCUUAUUACAAUUUUAUUCAAGAAAGAAAAUUGCACUAAUUUGCCAUCCUUUAUAGUAUUAUAAAAUUAACGGUUAGUUAAUUGAAGUUUUUAAUUAUUAGCGCUAAACAACACAAAACCCAAUGAAACAAUCACUUGACAGUUGUGCAUGUUUGUAGAGAUAAUGUUUUGUAUGGCUAUUAUCAAGCUUGUCAAUAACGCCUUAAGAUCUGCUUUGUACAAUGUGUUAAUGGAAUGAUGCUUACAAGUGACCCAGUUUCCCUGUUUUUCUGUAGCUGCAAAGGUGGAUCAGUUCACUCUUGUUGUAUUGACCCCCUCUUGGCACUCUCCUGGUGUUUUAUUCAUAAGCAGAAAGGCAUUUGGAGAUGGAUUGUAUCUCUCGAUAGGGAUAGGUUACAGUGAGGGAUCAUGUUAGGGUGAGUCCCUAGCACUGCUUGAAAGCUGGACCAGUAACUGACUGCUGUUGUUUUUUUUUUUUAACACACGCACAACCCUCUGUUGUUAAUGUGAGUGGACGUUGGGAGUAGGUCCCUGAAGGUGAGGUUGUGCUCCAUGUAUUUUAGUUCUGGUCCUGUCUGAUCUACAUGGGAGAGAAUGUGAGGCUUUUCAAACCAGUGAAAACUUUCCUUUAUUGGUAACUGUAUGAUCUGUUUUUGUUUUGUGAUUAUGGAAAAAGGCUUUAUGACCCCUGUAUAAAGUAGCCCUGUUGGUCUGAUCUUGUAUGACUGAGGUAAAUAGACUGGAUGGGAUGGUGUUGUUGCCAGGCACUAGAGAUGCAUAAUUAAAUCAGGAAGAUGAGAAUGGUUAAAAGUUUUAAUGGAGUUGUGUAUUUUCAGAUUUGACAUUUGUAUUUUGGCACUAAAGUUACUGCUUUUUACGUGACAUUUGACCAGUUUUAAAAGAAACAGCAUCCUUUUUUUAAAGUAUAAAAUCUGCAAAAUAUAUGCAAUGAUGUUUAUGUAAUAUUCAAUCCUCAAAUAUAAUCCAGUACCCUACACCUACCUGAACUUUACAAAGCAUUAAUAACUAUUGUUGCAUUUUUUUUAAUUUUUUUUGUACCCUUUUUGAAUAAAAUAGAUUUGUACUGUAUAUUUGUACCGCUGUGAACUACUUAAGGCUGUUUUGUUUUUGUUUUGCUGUUUUAAUUCUAUGUACUUAAGGACACAAAGAUAUUGUAUUUUUAUUGUUACAGCUAACUUCUUGG